UGCCCAGACUCCUACGGGAGGCAGCAGUGGGGGAUAUUGCACAAUGGGGGGAACCCUGAUGCAGCGACGCCGCGUGGGUGAAGGAGUGCUUCGGCCUGUAAAGCCCUAUCGGCAGGGAAGAAGCAAGACGGUACCUGACUAAGAAGCCCCGGCUAACUACGUGCCAGCAGCCGCGGUAAUACGUAGGUGGCAAGCGUUGUCCGGAUUUACUGGGUGUAAAGGGCGUGUAGCCGGGCCGGCAAGUCAGAUGUGAAAUCCCAAGGCUCAACCGUGGAACUGCAUUUGAAACUGUUGGUCUUGAGUAUCGGAGAGGCAGGCGGAAUUCCUAGUGUAGCGGUGAAAUGCGUAGAUAUUAGGAGGAACACCAGUGGCGAAGGCGGCCUGCUGGACGACAACUGACGGUGAGGCGCGAAAGCGUGGGGAGCAAACAGGAUUAGAUACCCCAGUA
rnacentral:rRNA from 1 species